GAGAAAAUUGAUUCGGGCUCGGCCGAUCCUCCCACCCUUUGUGUACCUACCUCUGUUGCUUUGGCGGGCCGCGGUCCUCCGCGGCCGCCCCCCUCCCCGGGGGGGUGGCCAGCGCCCGCCAGAGGACCAUCAAACUCCAGUCAGUAAACGAUGCAGUCUGAAAAACAUUUAAUAAACUAAAACUUUCAACAACGGAUCUCUUGGUUCUGGCAUCGAUGAAGAACGCAGCGAAAUGCGAUAAGUAAUGUGAAUUGCAGAAUUCAGUGAAUCAUCGAAUCUUUGAACGCACAUUGCGCCCUUUGGUAUUCCGAAGGGCAUGCCUGUUCGAGCGUCAUUACAACCCUCAAGCUCUGCUUGGUAUUGGGCACCGUCCUUUGCGGGCGCGCCUCAAAGACCUCGGCGGUGGCGUCUUGCCUCAAGCGUAGUAGAACAUACAUCUCGCUUCGGAGCGCAGGGCGUCGCCCGCCGGACGAACCUUCUGAACUUUUCUCAAGGUUGACCUCGGAUCAGGUAGGGAUACCCGCUGAACUUAAGCAUAUCAAUAAGCCGGAGGAA
rnacentral:rRNA from 1 species